UGUAUUUUAUGUUGAUCAGUAAAUUUCAUUCAAUAAACUUUUUUUCUGCGAACAUAUAUUUGAAUGUGAAUUUUGGACAAUGUGCAAUCUAUGCUACAUUUUGAAAAUAAAGACUAAAGCAUUGACACAAAUGCGACUCAGAAAAUAUAACAGCGGAACUCUGCGCUUUAUGAAAACUGUACCAUUGAGCAAGGUGUCCCGAGCGAAUACAAAGGGAAACCACUCUCCACUAGAGUUUGAACUAAGAUUAGCUCCCCCUAAACUAUCAAUAAGGUCACGGUCAUUACUGUAGCCUGCCGACACCUUCCGUUUUUAUUCUUCCCAAAUUAUCGAAAAGAGCUCCAUAACCGAUUACGUCUCCAGACAUGGAUUCCAAUGCCACGAAGACAAAGGAUGCGUCAGCAAUGAUGAAUCUGUGAAAUACAGCAGUUCUCUUUACCGGAUGUAUCCGUGCAUCGUAUUUCUCUAACCGUUCCAGAGGAACGUCAGCCAACGGAAGUAUGCGGAAACCAGUCCUUCGUAAUGGUGGAAGCUUUUGGUUGGUUUUCUUCAGGGACAUAAUGGUAAUGUCAUGUAACGGCUUGAAUAAUUUGAGGUUAAGCUCAGGCUUAAGUGUGGUGAUUAAAAUAUUUUUAUCCUGA